AGCGAACGCUGGCGGCAGGCCUAACACAUGCAAGUCGAGCGCCCCGCAAGGGGAGCGGCAGACGGGAGAGUAACACGUGGGAACGUACCCUUUGGUUCGGAACAACCCAGGGAAACUUGGGCUGAUACCGGAUAAGCCCUCACGGGGAAAGAUUUAUCGCCGAAGGAUCGGCCCGCGUCUGAUUAGCUAGUUGGUGAGGUAACGGCUCACCAAGGCGACGAUCAGUAGCUGGUCUGAGAGGAUGAUCAGCCUCACUGGGACUGAGACACGGCCCAGACUCCUACGGGAGGCAGCAGUGGGGAAUAUUGGACAAUGGGCGCAAGCCUGAUCCAGCCAUGCCGCGUGGGUGAUGAAGGCCCUAGGGUUGUAAAGCCCUUUCGGCGGGGAAGAUAAUGACGGUACCCGCAGAAGAAGCCCCGGCUAACUUCGUGCCAGCAGCCGCAGUAACAC
rnacentral:rRNA from 1 species